UACAGAGGGUGCGAGCGUUAAUCGGAAUUACUGGGCGUAAAGCGUGCGUAGACGGUCUGUUGCGUCCGCUGUGAAAACUCGGGGCUUAACCCCGAGCCUGCAGUGGAUACGGGCAGACUAGAGGUAGGUAGGGGAGAAUGGAAUUCCCGGUGUAGCGGUGAAAUGCGCAGAUAUCGGGAGGAACACCGGUGGCGAAGGCGGUUCUCUGGGCCUUACCUGACGCUGAGGAGCGAAAGCGUGGGGAGCGAACAGG
rnacentral:rRNA from 1 species